GUAAAUAUAGUUUAAAAAAAACAUUAG
rnacentral:tRNA from 1 species